rnacentral:rRNA from 1 species
GAUGAACGCUGGCGGCGUGCUUACCUUUUGCAAGUCGAACGUGAAGGUGUAGCAUUAUGCCUGAAAGUGGCGGACGGGUGAGUAACACGUGGGUGACCUGCCGCAAAGGGGGGGAUAACGAGGGGAAACCUUCGCUAAUACCGCAUAGGCUUACACUGGGGGGAAUGGUGUGGGUAAAACUCUGGUGCUCUGCGAGGGGCCUGCGUCCAAUUAGCUAGUUGGUGAGGUAAUGGCUCACCAAGGCAAUGAUCGGUAGCUGGUCUGAAAGGACAAUCACCCACACGGGAACUGAAAAACGGUCCCAACUCCUACGGGGGGCAGCAGUGAGGAAUAUUGGGCAAUGGGCGCAAGCCUGACCCAGCACCGCCGCGUGAAGGAUGAAGGUUUUUGGAUUGUAAACUCCUUUUGUGGGGAAAGAGUGAGGACGGUACCCCAAGAAUAAGUCACGGCUAACUACGUG